GGGAAUCUUCGGCAAUGGACGAAAGUCUGACCGAGCAACGCCGCGUGAGUGAAGAAGGUUUUCGGAUCGUAAAACUCUGUUGUUAGAGAAGAACAAGGGUGAGAGUAACUGUUCACCCCUUGACGGUAUCUAACCAGAAAGCCACGGCUAACUACGUGCCAG
rnacentral:rRNA from 1 species